rnacentral:lncRNA from 1 species
AUCAUAAUAGGGUCUUUAAACUGGCUUGCACCUGUGCUUCACUGACACCUGCGCCAAGGUUCCAAGGCUCCUCUUCUCUCUGUCCCUCUCCAUUCAACUGUAUACCUAGGAAUAUUAAGAGACACCUUCCAUACUCUACUUUUUUCUCUCUCCAUCUUUCUCUCUAUCCCUCUCAUUCUACUUUCUCUCACACUCCAUCUCUCUGCUUCACUCCAUUUUCUCUCCUUCUUUCAAUAUUUUCACUCUUCUUUCCUUUCUUCUUUCCUUCUUCCACUCUUCUUUCCUUCUUCCACUUCUCUCCUUUCUUCUUUCCUUCUUCCACUCUUCUUUCCUUUCUUCACUGUUCUUUAAUUUCUUCUUUCCUUCUUCCACUCUUCUUUCACUCUUCUUUCUUUUCUUCUUUCCUUCUUCCACUCUUCUUUCCUUCUUUCACUCUUCUUUCCUUCUUUCACUUUUCUUUUUUUUCUUCUUUCCUUCUUUCACUUCUUUCUUUUCUUCUUUCCUUCUUCCCUUCUUCCACUCUUCUUUCACUUUCUUUUUUUCCUUCUUUCCUUCUUCCACUCUUCUUUCCUUUUUUCACUCUUCUUUCUUUUCUUCUUUCCUUCUUCUCUUCUUUCCUUCUUCCACUCUUCUUUCCUUUCUUCUUUCCUUCUUUCACUCUUCUUUAUUUUCUUCUUUCCUUCUUCCACUCCUUUCCUUUCUUAACUCUUCUUUCCUUUCUUCUUUCCUUCUUUUACUCUUCUUUCCUUCUCCAACUCUUCUUUCCUUCUUCCACUCUUUGUUCCUUUCUUCUCUCCUUCUUCCACUAUUCUUUCCUUCUUCCACUUCUUUCCUUUCUUCUUUCCUUCUUCCACUCUUCUUUCCUUUCUUCUUUCCUUCUUCCACUCUUCUUUCCUUUCUUCUUUCCUUUCUUCCACUCUUCUUUCCUUUCUUCUUUCCUUCUUCCACUCUUCUUUCCUCUCUUCUUUCCACUCUUCUUUCCUUUCUUCUUCCCUUCUUCCACUCUUCUUUCCUUUCUUCUUUCCUUCUUCCACUCUUCUUCCCUUCCACUCUUCUUUCCUUUCUUCUUUCCUUCUUCCACUCUUCUUUCCACUUUUCUUUCCUUUCUUCUUUCCGUCUCUCACUCUUCUUUCUAUU